rnacentral:rRNA from 1 species
GAUGAACGCUGGCGGCGUGCCUAAUACAUGCAAGUCGAGCGAACGGACGAGAAGCUUGCUUCUCUGAUGUUAGCGGCGGACGGGUGAGUAACACGUGGAUAACCUACCUAUAAGACUGGGAUAACUUCGGGAAACCGGAGCUAAUACCGGAUAAUAUUUUGAACCGCAUGGUUCAAAAGUGAAAGACGGUCUUGCUGUCACUUAUAGAUGGAUCCGCGCUGCAUUAGCUAGUUGGUAAGGUAACGGCUUACCAAGGCAACGAUGCAUAGCCGACCUGAGAGGGUGAUCGGCCACACUGGAACUGAGACACGGUCCAGACUCCUACGGGAGGCAGCAGUAGGGAAUCUUCCGCAAUGGGCGAAAGCCUGACGGAGCAACGCCGCGUGAGUGAUGAAGGUCUUCGGAUCGUAAAACUCUGUUAUUAGGGAAGAACAUAUGUGUAAGUAACUGUGCACAUCUUGACGGUACCUAAUCAGAAAGCCACGGCUAACUACGUGC